UGCAAGUCGAACGAGAAAGUGGAGCAAUCCAUGAGUAAAGUGGCGCACGGGUGAGUAACACGUGACUAACCUACCCUUGAGUGGGGAAUAACUUCGGGAAACCGAGGCUAAUACCGCAUAACACCUACGGGUCAAAGGAGCAAUUCGCUUAAGGAGGGGGUCGCGGCAGAUUAGUUAGUUGGCGGGGUAAUGGCCCACCAAGACGGUGGUCUGUAUCCGGCCUGAGAGGGCGCACGGACACACUGGAACUGAAACACGGUCCAGACUCCUACGGGAGGCAGCAGUGGGGAAUUUUGCGCAAUGGGGGAAACCCUGACGCAGCAACGCCGCGUGGAGGAUGAAGUCCCUUGGGACGUAAACUCCUUUCGAUCGGGACGAUUAUGACGGUACCGGAAGAAGAAGCCCCGGCUGACUUCGUGCCAGCAGCCGCGGUAAUACGAGGGGGGCGAGCGUUGUUCGGAAUUAUUGGGCGUAAAGGGCGCGUAGGCGG
rnacentral:rRNA from 1 species